GGACCCGCACAAGUAGUGGAGCAUGUGGUUUAAUUCGAAGAUACGCGCAGAACCUUACCAACACUUGACAUGUUCGUCGCGACUUUAAGAGAUUAAAGUUUUCGGUUUGGCCGGACGAAACACAGGUGCUGCAUGGCUGUCGUCAGCUCGUGUCGUGAGAUGUUGGGUUAAGUCCCGCAACGAGCGCAACCCUCACUUUUAGUUGCCAUCAUUUAGUUGGGCACUCUGAAAGAACUGCCAGUGAUAAGCUGGAGGAAGGUGGGGAUGACGUCAAGUCCUCAUGGCCCUUACGUGUUGGGCUACACACGUGCUACAAUGGCAUUUACAAUAGGAAGCAAGACGGCGACGUUUAGCAAAUCCUAAAAAAUGCCUCAGUUCGGAUUGUACUCUGCAACUCGAGUACAUGAAGCUGGAAUUACUAGUAAUCG
rnacentral:rRNA from 1 species